UGGAGGGGAGCUCCCUGGAAGGGAAGCUGGGGGAAGGGGAGGGCGGCGGGGGGCGGGAGGUCGUCGGUGGCCUCUGAGAGCCCGCCCCUGUGCCCAGGUUGCCAAUGCCAAUGGCCCUGAGGGGCAGAACCACCGGUUGGAGCUCCACAUCUUCCCGGCCUCACCCGGGGCCUCACUCGGGGGUCCCGAGGGCGCCCACCCUGCAGCCGCCCCUGCUGGGUGCGUCCCCAGUCCCAGCGCCCUGGCGCCAGGCUAUGCGGAGCCGCUGAAGGGCGUCCCGCCAGAGAAGUUCAACCACACCGCCAUCCCCAAGGGCUACCGCUGCCCCUGGCAGGAGUUCGUCAGCUAUCGGGACUACCAGAGCGAUGGCCGAAGUCACACCCCCAGCCCCAACGACUACCGAAAUUUCAACAAGACCCCGGUGCCAUUUGGAGGAUCCCUCGUGGGGGGCACUUUUCCCAGGCUAGGCACCUCCUUCAUCCCGGAGCCCCUCAGUGGCUUGGAACUCCUCCGUCUCAGACCCAGCUUCAACAGAGUGGCCCAGGGCUGGGUCCGUAACCUCCCAGAGUCCGAGGAGCUGUAGUCCUAGCCUGAAUCUUCAGUUCCCCAGUCUUGGGGGCCUGGUAACAUCUGGAGCCAAGACUUGUAGACAGCGCUUCACAGUU
rnacentral:sRNA from 1 species